UGCCUACGGGGGGCAGCAGUGGGGAAUAUUGCACAAUGGGGGAAACCCUGAUGCAGCGACGCCGCGUGAGUGAAGAAGUAUUUCGGUAUGUAAAGCUCUAUCAGCAGGGAAGAAAAUGACGGUACCUGACUAAGAAGCCCCGGCUAACUACGUGCCAGCAGCCGCGGUAAUACGUAGGGGGCAAGCGUUAUCCGGAUUUACUGGGUGUAAAGGGAGCGUAGACGGCGCGGCAAGUCUGAAGUGAAAGUCAGGGGCUUAACCCCUUAACUGCUUUG
rnacentral:rRNA from 1 species